CAGCCGCCGCGGUAAUACGUAGGGUGCGAGCGUUAAUCGGAAUUACUGGGCGUAAAGCGUGCGCAGGCGGUUUGUUAAGACAGAUGUGAAAUCCCCGGGCUCAACCUGGGAACUGCAUUUGUGACUGGCAAGCUAGAGUGUGGCAGAGGGGGGUGGAAUUCCGCGUGUAGCGGUGAAAUGCGUAGAGAUGUGGAGGAACACCGAUGGCGAAGGCAGCCCCCUGGGCCAAUACUGACGCUCAUGCACGAAAGCGUGGGGAGCAAACAGGAUUAGAUACCCCUGUAGUCCCUGUCUCUUAUAA
rnacentral:rRNA from 1 species